UACGGGGGGGGCAAGCGUUGUUCGGAAUUACUGGGCGUAAAGGGCGCGUAGGCGGUUUGCUAAGUUGGACGUGAAAACUCUGGGCUUAACCCAGAGCCUGCAUCCAAAACUGGCAAGCUGGAGUAUUGGAGGGGGAAGCGGAAUUCCUGGUGUAGCAGUGAAAUGCGUAGAUAUCGGGAGGAACACCAGUGGCGAAGGCGACUACCUGGCCUGUUCUUGACGCUGAGGCGCGAAAGCUAGGGGAGCAAACGGG
rnacentral:rRNA from 1 species